GGGAAUUUGGAUUUAUCAUACACCAGUGUCUAUAAUGGCACAUGUCGGAAAAUGGAAAAAGUGGCCAAUAAGACCGACGUGCCUGGAAAGUUCAGACACAUAAGUCAGAGGCGCAGUGUGGACCUCAGCGCUGAUGUGCAGGAGAAGUUCAGGCAGUUCUCCUUGCAGACUGACUUCCUUCCUGAAAA